rnacentral:rRNA from 1 species
AGAGUUUGAUCCUGGCUCAGGACGAACGCUGGCGGCGUGCUUAACACAUGCAAGUCGAGCGAUGAAGCUUCCUUCGGGAAGUGGAUUAGCGGCGGACGGGUGAGUAACACGUGGGUAACCUGCCUCAAAGUGGGGGAUAGCCUUCCGAAAGGAAGAUUAAUACCGCAUAAUAUAAGAGAAUCGCAUGAUUUUUUUAUCAAAGAUUUAUUGCUUUGAGAUGGACCCGCGGCGCAUUAGCUAGUUGGUAAGGUAACGGCUUACCAAGGCAACGAUGCGUAGCCGACCUGAGAGGGUGAUCGGCCACAUUGGAACUGAGACACGGUCCAGACUCCUACGGGAGGCAGCAGUGGGGAAUAUUGCGCAAUGGGGAAACCCUGACGCAGCAACGCCGCGUGGGUGAUGAAGGUCUUCGGAUUGUAAAGCCCUGUUUUCUAGGACGAUAAUGACGGUACUAGAGGAGGAAGCCACGGCUAACUACGUGCCAGCAGCCGCGGUAAUACGUAGGUGGCGAGCGUUGUCCGGAUUUACUGGGCGUAAAGGGUGCGUAGGCGGAUGUUUAAGUGGGAUGUGAAAUCCCCGGGCUUAACCUGGGGGCUGCAUUCCAAACUGGAUAUCUAGAGUGCAGGAGAGGAAAGCGGAAUUCCUAGUGUAGCGGUGAAAUGCGUAGAGAUUAGGAAGAACACCAGUGGCGAAGGCGGCUUUCUGGACUGUAACUGACGCUGAGGCACGAAAGCGUGGGUAGCAAACAGGAUUAGAUACCCUGGUAGUCCACGCCGUAAACGAUGGAUACUAGGUGUAGGGGGUAUCAACUCCCCCUGUGCCGCAGUUAACACAAUAAGUAUCCCGCCUGGGGAGUACGGUCGCAAGAUUAAAACUCAAAGGAAUUGACGGGGGCCCGCACAAGCAGCGGAGCAUGUGGUUUAAUUCGAAGCAACGCGAAGAACCUUACCUGGACUUGACAUCCCUUGCAUAGCCUAGAGAUAGGUGAAGCCCUUCGGGGCAAGGAGACAGGUGGUGCAUGGUUGUCGUCAGCUCGUGUCGUGAGAUGUUAGGUUAAGUCCUGCAACGAGCGCAACCCUUGUUAUUAGUUGCUACCAUUAAGUUGAGCACUCUAAUGAGACUGCUGGGUAACCAGGAGGAAGGUGGGGAUGACGUCAAAUCAUCAUGCCCCUUAUGUCCAGGGCUACACACGUGCUACAAUGGUAGGUACAAUAAGACGC